UGCAUUAAGCCAUGAACAAUAAAUAUCUUGAGUAAUUACACACAAAGAAAGACACCAAAUUCUGCAUAUAAUAUUAAUUAACUAAACAUCAAAUAUAACCUUACAGAGAAAAUGGUUUUGCCUUUUCAAAUAACAAUAAGGCUUUCCAAUCCAAGAUAUUCUCUAUAUUUAUUCUGAAUAACACCCUAGCAUUUUAUAAGGACAACCACAAAAAUUGCUAAAGUAGCCUAAAUAUCUAAUGAAAAAAUUAUAGAUAAAGACAAUAUAUCACUAAGUUCCUUUCAUGUUUCAUCAAUUGAUGAAUUUUUUAAUGAAAGUUACUACUAACUAGUAACUAACUAUUGCAUAAUCUUCUAGAAACCAAACCAAACCAAAACCUUUUGCUAAUGUAACUAAAAACUACUAUAACAUGUAAGAAGAUCUUACAUGUGUCAAUAAGUUGUUAAUUCCUUCCACCAAUUCAGUUGCAAAAACAGCAGCAUCCUUCUUUAGUCUUUUCUGACUAAAUUGAAUAGCUGUUAUGUAUGAAACUGAGCUUUUGUAACUCUUUCUCUUUGCUUAUGUUUCUGAAACUACAUGAUUGCUGAAAUUCCGGUAUCUACUCGAUAUGAAAACGGGCUGUCCGGGAGAUUUAGUCCUUCGUUGCUGCAUAAAAUAAGUUCAAAUAAAAUAUACAGAUACGGAAAGUUAAGACAUUUGAUUUGUCUAAUGUGAGACGAGCGACCAUUGUGGUCUAGUGCACGAGGCAUCCAUUAGGUAGGAUAUCGAGAGGGUAGAUGUAUGCAGUCUUUGUUAAGAAAUCUCAUAUUGGAUGUGAGUUAGCCUGAAUAUGGGUUUAUAAGUAAGUGGCAAUCAUCACCGUACAAGCUGGUUUUGUAGGGUUGAGUUAGACCCAACUCUCAAUUCUAAAAUGGUAUCAAAGCCUCUCGGCUCCAAGAUCCGUUGGUCGGGCCACCCACAAUUUGUAUCCACACACCAAGCCCAAUAGUUCUGGGCGUGAGGGGGUGUGUUAAGA
rnacentral:lncRNA from 1 species